rnacentral:rRNA from 1 species
CCUACGGGUGGCAGCAGUGGGGAAUAUUGGACAAUGGGGGGAACCCUGAUCCAGCCAUGCCGCGUGUGUGAAGAAGGCCCUCGGGUUGUAAAGCACUUUCAGUGAGGAAGAACGCCUGGUGGUUAAUACCCAUCAGGAAAGACAUCACUCACAGAAGAAGCACCGGCUAACUCCGUGCCAGCAGCCGCGGUAAUACGGACGGUGCGAGCGUUAAUCGGAAUUACUGGGCGUAAAGCGCGCGUAGGUGGCUUGAUAAGCCGGUUGUGAAAGCCCCGGGCUCAACCUGGGAACGGCAUCCGGAACUGUCAAGCUAGAGUGCAGGAGAGGAAGGUAGAAUUCCCGGUGUAGCGGUGAAAUGCGUAGAGAUCGGGAGGAAUACCAGUGGCGAAGGCGGCCUUCUGGACUGACACUGACACUGAGGUGCGAAAGCGUGGGUAGCAAACAGGAUUAGAUACCCGAGUAGUC